rnacentral:RNase_P_RNA from 2 species
UGAGUCGUCCAGACGGUCGCGUCAGCACUUCGUGUUGCCGAGGAACGUCCGGGCUCCACAGAGCGCGAUGGUGGUUAACAGCCACCCGGGGUGACCCGCGAGAUAGUGCCACAGAAAACAGACCGCCUCUUCCUAUACCUUCGGCAGGGGUAAGGGUGAAACGGUGGUGUAAGAGACCACCGGGAGUCAGGUGACUGGCUUCGCACGGUAAACCUCAUCGGGAGCAAGACCAAACAGUGAAUGUAAGCUGCUCGCCUAGUUCACGGGUAGGUUGCUUGAGACCUGUGGUAACACAGGCCCUAGAGAAAUGGCCGUCAUUCGAAUACCGGUAACGGUACCGAAUACAGAACCCGGCGUAUCGGGCGACUCAUCCC